UACGUAGGGCGCAAGCGUUGUCCGGAAUUAUUGGGCGUAAAGAGCUCGUAGGCGGCUUGUCACGUCGGGUGUGAAAGCCCGGGGCUUAACCCCGGGUCUGCAUUCGAUACGGGCUAGCUAGAGUGUGGUAGGGGAGAUCGGAAUUCCUGGUGUAGCGGUGAAAUGUGCAGAUAUCAGGAGGAACACCGGUGGCGAAGGCGGAUCUCUGGGCCAUUACUGACGCUGAGGAGCGAAAGCGUGGGGAGCGAACAGG
rnacentral:rRNA from 1 species